rnacentral:lncRNA from 1 species
AACUGUGCUCUAGUUAACAGCAAGGAAUUAGUUCACGUGCCAUCUAUCAGUCAAUUAUUAUUGUCGUAAGAAUGGAUCACCGGCAAAGAGAUUGUUAAAUUACACGUCUAUACGGGCUUCAGUCAUCAGUCAUCACGCACGCACGUACGGAAGUGCAAUUUCCUCGCGGACAACAAAAACUAACCGUGGUGAAAUCAUCAUGUUCUGCACACAAGCUACUGUUCAUCGCUAAUCAGCCGUUCAAAUUUCCAUCGCCGACACUCCAUCAGAGUACGCAACUGCAACCCUGAUAGAUGAAACAGCACACGGUUUACUAGUAUGGUAUCUUAGGAAACAAAAUCAGUGUAAUGGAGUACACCAUCAUAAAAAUAACUAAGCAGAAAACAACAGGGUAAUAAAGAAAUCAAUAAGAACCGAUUACCUUGCUGACGCCGUCAAACAUGCGAAACCACGAACCCGCAUACUGGCCAGCUUUGUCUUCAGCCUGUGAAAUAUGGAGCACCCACUAUUUUAGCAUAUAUAGAGAGAGGGGCCAAUCAGCAUUUUCGUUAAACUGAGUCAAAGAUUUGCCUCGUCGAUUAAUUAAGCAGAUGCCCACUUAAUUAAUGAAAAACCAGAAAAAAAACUGACACAAACCAAUCACAUGCGGACUACUCAUAAAGCAUGCAACCCCAGAAGUGCACGAUCAGCCCUACACCCAUACCCAACACGCAGUGACAAUCAAUCCCCACACUACUACACCGCAAGGAAACCCCUAACAAAAGUGCCUACCCUGAAGACCACCAACCAGAUUCACGGAGACAAGCCAGGCCAUAAAGACCGUCCAAGAUACUGAUGGCCAUCCAUCAAGCAGCUACGAACGCCUUUGAUGUGGAGCCACCCUUCUUGCUUUUCCUCCUAAGGGCUUUCUCCACAAUCGUCUUGUCACAUCCAGGGCUGGCUACCUCCAAACGUGUGAGCAAGCUGCCAAGCUGUAUCUCAAAGAGGAUGUCAUCAACCUUGUCCCUCACAAACACCACUGCAAUAACAUCCUCUGCCACGGGUACCACCGACACGACGGACUCAAGCGCCUCCUGUUGCUCACAUGGCAGAGGCGAACCCGUCAGUUGCGCCUAAGAAUUAGGUGCCAACUCACGUACCUCGUCACCCACCGACACC